rnacentral:rRNA from 1 species
UUGAACGCUGGCGGCAUGCCUUACACAUGCAAGUCGAACGGUAGAGGGGCAACCCUUGAGAGUGGCGAACGGGUGAGUAAUAUAUCGGAACGUGCCCAGUCGUGGGGGAUAACGCAGCGAAAGCUGCGCUAAUACCGCAUACGAUCUAUGGAUGAAAGCGGGGGAUCGCAAGACCUCGCGCGAUUGGAGCGGCCGAUAUCAGAUUAGGUAGUUGGUGGGGUAAAAGCCCACCAAGCCCGACG